rnacentral:rRNA from 1 species
CACAUGACGUAGCAAUACAGAUGGUGGCGACCGGCGCACGGGUGAGUAACGCGUAUGCAACCUGCCUACAACAGGGGAAUAACCCGUUGAAAGACGGACUAAUACCCCAUAACACAGGGAUCCCGCAUGGGAAUAUUUGUUAAAGAUUUAUCGGUUGUAGAUGGGCAUGCGUUCCAUUAGCUUGUUGGUGAGGUAACGGCUCACCAAGGCAACGAUGGAUAGGGGAACUGAGAGGUUUAUCCCCCACACUGGUACUGAGACACGGACCAGACUCC